rnacentral:rRNA from 1 species
UUGGAUUUGUGGUUGGGUCCGUCGGUCCGGCACAUUGUGCGGGUACUUGAUGGACUCGUCCAUCCUUAGGUGGAAUCUGUGUGGCAUUAAGUUGUCGUGCAGGGGAUGCCCAUCGUUUACUGUGAAAAAAUUAGAGUGUUCAAAGCAGGCUUAUGCCGAUGAAUAUAUUAGCAUGGAAUAAUGAGAUAGGACCUUGGUACUAUUUUGUUGGUUUGCGCACCGAGGUAAUGAUUAAUAGGGACAGUUGGGGGUAUU